rnacentral:rRNA from 1 species
UACGAAGGGGGCUAGCGUUGUUCGGAAUUACUGGGCGUAAAGGGCGCGUAGGCGGCCUUCUAAGUCAGACGUGAAAUCCCCCGGCUUAACCUGGGAACUGCAUUUGUGACUGCACAGCUGGAGUGCGGCAGAGGGGGAUGGAAUUCCGCGUGUAGCAGUGAAAUGCGUAGAUAUGCGGAGGAACACCGAUGGCGAAGGCAAUCCCCUGGGCCUGCACUGACGCUCAUGCACGAAAGGCGUGGGGAGCAAACAGG